GGACGCCGCAGCCGGUUGGGUCGCUGCGCGAGUCGGCCAUAAGGACGGGCAACGGAAGGUGGCCGGUGGCGUUCCUCGUGUUCGUCGCCGGUCGUUAUCCAGCCCGCCCGUGGCGCGACACCCGACCGAGGUCGAAGGUCCCGGUUAGGACCUUGCCGUCCCCUCCCCCGUGGUCGAGCAGGAGCGCCAGCAGGCGAUUCCCCGUCCGGUCGUCUCCACUCUCCGAGUGGGCGGUCGCCGGGUGACGCCGUUGGCGAGGUGUCUUCCUGCGCGGGGUUGUUUUUCCGGCGGCUCGCGGCGAGUAGGUCGGUCACCCACCCGACCCGUCUUGAAACACGGACCAAGGAGUCUAACAUGUGCGCGAGUCACGGGGUCUUGCUUAGGCCCAGAGGCGCAAUGAAAGUGAAGGCCGGCCUCGACGCCGGCCGAGUUGGGAUUCUCC
rnacentral:rRNA from 1 species